AAAAUUAAAAAAAGAGAAAGACGAAAGAAAACAACAACCUUUUUUCUUUAAAAUAUAUAGAUAUAUAUCUUUCUUUUUGCAUUUUCAUCGAUCAAAAAUUACG
rnacentral:ribozyme from 1 species